rnacentral:rRNA from 1 species
AUUGAACGCUGGCGGCAGGCCUAACACAUGCAAGUCGGACGAGUGGCGGACGGGUGAGUAAUGUAUGGGAAACUGCCCGAUGGAGGGGGAUAACUACUGGAAACGGUAGCUAAUACCGCAUACCAUCGGAUGUACCCAUAUGGGAUUAGCUAGUAGGUGGGGUAAAGGCUCACCUAGGCGACGCUCCCUAGCUGGUCUGAGAGGAUGACCAGCCACACUGGGACGGAGACACGGCCCAGACUCCGACGGGAGGCAGCAGUGGGGAAUAUUGCACAAUGGGCGCAAGCCUGAUGCAGCCAUGCCGCGUGUAUGAAGAAGGCCUUCGGGUUGUAAAGUACUUUCAGCGGGGAGGCGUUACCCGCAGAAGAAGCACCGGCUAACUCCGUGCCAGCAGCCGCGGUAAUAC